ACGGGUGAGUAACACGUAGGCAACCUGCCCCUUAGUCUGGGAUAACUACCGGAAACGGUAGCUAAUACCGGAUAAUUUCUCUUUUCGCAUGAGAAGAGAAUGAAAGGCGGAGCAAUCUGCUGGUAAGGGAUGGGCCUGCGGCGCAUUAGCUAGUUGGUGGGGUAACGGCUCACCAAGGCGACGAUGCGUAGCCGACCUGAGAGGGUGAACGGCCACACUGGGACUGAGACACGGCCCAGACUCCUACGGGAGGCAGCAGUAGGGAAUCUUCCGCAAUGGGCGAAAGCCUGACGGAGCAACGCCGCGUGAGUGAUGAAGGUUUUCGGAUCGUAAAGCUCUGUUGCCAGGGAAGAACGUCCGGUAGAGUAACUGCUACCGGAGUGACGGUACCUGAGAAGAAAGCCCCGGCUAACUACGUGCCAGCAGCCGCGGUAAUACGUAGGGGGCAAGCGUUGUCCGGAAUUAUUGGGCGUAAAGCGCGCGCAGGCGGCCAUUUAAGUCUGGUGUUUAAACCUUGGGCUCAACCUGAGGUCGCACUGGAAACUGGGUGGCUUGAGUACAGAAGAGGAAAGUGGAAUUCCAC
rnacentral:rRNA from 1 species